rnacentral:rRNA from 1 species
GGUAUUGAAAUAAGAUUUUAAAUGAGUGCUAAGAGAAUGAUUAAACAAUUAAAAACUUUCUUUAAUUAAAUAAUUAAAUUUAAUUUUUUUGGUGCGAAAGCAAAAAUAAAAUUUAGGGACAAGAAGACCCUAUGAAUUUUUAUUAUUAAUAUUUUGCAAUUAAAUUAUUAAUAAUUUAAUUGGGGUGAUAAAAAAAGAAUAAGUAUCUUUUUAAUUGUAAAAUAAGUUCCGUUUUUAGCGAUUAAAUGAAAAAAAUACUCUAGGGAUAACAGCGUAAUAAUUUUGGAUAGUUCAUAUAGAUAAAAUAGUUUGCGACCUCGAUGUUGGAUUAGGAUUCUUUUUUGGUGAAGAA